AUUCCGGGUGCUCCGUCCUCCACCGAAGACCAUCGCUGUGCCGCGGGAAAUCUCUCUUCCUCGCCUUCUCUUAGCUUGGCGGCAUAAGCCCCGCACCUUGCUCCUCACAGCUGCCCUUCAAGUCCGGGAAGACUCACCAUCACUGGACCAAGGAAGAUUUUUCCUUAUUUCCAAUAUGAUUAUCAAUUAAAACAUCUUUCCAAUUAUUUCUAUGGAUUUGGGGUAACAGCAAUUAGAAACAUUGGCAAGCACCUGGGAACUACAACAGAAAUGUAAAAGUGUCAAAAGAUUGGAGAAGAGAAAUCUCACAGCAGUUCUGGGUAAUCAGAGAAGGUCUAACUGACAAGAAACCGUGCUGUGCUUGGCUGAUGCAGGAUUCCCAGGAGCUCUCCAUUCAGGAGUAAAUGAGGCGCUCACCUGAGAAGAACCCCUUUCUGCAAAGCAGCCGUGGAUGGCACUGUCUGGGGCAGAAUCCGGGAUGGCUGGAUGCACUCUCCCUUAACGUGAUCAGAGGUUCCAGAGGGAAUGGAUGUGCUUUCUCUGUUUGAAAAUGUUAAUUCAGAUUUGGUGAGUGGGUUUGCAAUUCUGCUGGGAAAGGCCACUGUGAGACAGGUCAAACAAUGCUCUUCUGGCUCAAAUGGCCUUCCCCUCCUCUCCACCUGGUCCAUCCUUUUGUCUCUUAGAACUCAGAGAAGAUGUGCUUUCUUCCUGCACUGUGAUUAUCUGCAGCUUCACUCACAUACCUAUCUGACCAGUCUCCAGACUCAUCACUUCCUUGUCUACGGAUCCAUUCACGUCUGCUCAUUUCCCUCCCUUCCUGUUCCCUCUGUCCAGCCUUGGGCUGUCAUGUCUGUCACCUGAUUUGCCUUAAUUCCCAUGUCUCUCAUUCUGACCCUGCAAUCCUGCCUCUACCUGUGGAAAUCUAUGUCACAGCUUGGUUUAAAUCUCUUACAUGUAACUUUCAGAAAAAUUUGAAAAUCCCGAUGAGGCAAAAACAAACCAAAAGAAAGCAUAAAAUAACAAGCAUGAGAAAUCUUUCCAUCCAGAUAUAGCAAAUGUAACUGCAGAGAUUUCUAGGCCUUAUUUUCUAUUUACAUGCAUAUUUUUUUUCCAAAG